UUUAACACCUCUCUGACGUUGCUAAUCUCCCCUUAUAGCAGAGAGGCCUCCUAGCAGGCCUGAUCAUCUAAGGUAGAAUUGCUUUGUUUUCAUUGAGCUUAUUUUUAUAUUUACCUUCUGUUUUGGGAAAGCCAAAACAUUUAAAGUACAGAUACAGAUUCCUUGUUAAAUAAAGUUUUGUAAAAGUGAGUUAAUUUAAAGAAAAACACUAAGCAGAUGAGGUAAAAAGAUAUUGCAGAAAUCCUGGAGGAGAUGCCAAUGACCAGACUUGAGAGAAAUCCUGGGUGGGGCACCUCGACUCUUCAGUUCUAACAUCAGCCACUUUUCUAGGAAACUGACUUUACGGUCUAGGUGCUGCUGUUUAUCUUUUUUAAAAAGCGUAAGAAGGUAGGAAUUUCACCAGGCAUUUAGUGAUGGACUCAACUCUGUUUGCCGAGUAACUUCCCUUAGCAAACUUCAAUGCCACCGCAACACCUUGGCCACGCCCUCCACGCCCGUGGGGAUGAGGAAGGAACCCCAAGUGGGGGGCUGGUCCUGAGGCAUUGUCAACCUCCUUCUGAUUCUGAGGAUGGAAUUCUGGGACUCCCACACCCCCAGAGUCAAGAGCAGCUGUCAGGAGGGCCCUACAUAGAAUGUCUGACCUGGCAGCCAUUUGGGGGUAGGGCCAGUGAAGCCAAAGACCUAUGAGGACUUCCUUCAGCCCUGGGAUAAAGGCGAAGCUCCUUCUGUGAUACUCAAGGUCUUUCAGUGUCAUCCCCAAAUUGUCCUUCCAUAUGCCCCCUCUACCUGGCUGACUCCUGCUCCUCCGAGCUCCCCUGUCACCAUUGCUAGGAAGCCCUGUCUCAGUCUCUCCAGUUCCCUGUCCUGAGUCAGGCUUCCUGUGGGAUCCCAGCUUCCUCAGCAUCCCGGCCCUAGGUCAUCCUUGCCUGCUUAUGUGCCUGUUGUCCGCACAGAGGAGGACACCGUGUCUAUUUAGUCUCUAUAUCCCAGGGUCUGUACAAAGAAGUGCUCGGUAAAGCUUUGCUGAACUGAGGAGGGUAGACGGAGUGGCCACGGUGGGGACAUCAGUUCCUACCCCUUCGGCUCCUUUCGCGGGCUUCCGCCCCCUCUGCUGAGUCUCCUGUAGGGAAAGGUGCACAUGAAGAGUAGUUAGAGGCAGCCGAAAGGCCGAGAGCUACCACAAGGUAGAUGUGGGCUCCAGUCCUGUUCAGAUGUCAGCUGAUUUAGCGGAGCCGGAGGAUUCCUGUGUGUUGACGGGGGAUCCUAUUCCACCAGAGGAGCAGAGAGGGCGUGAGGAAUAAAUGAAAUAACGUGAGAAAAGCAGCAUCCAGAGGUCAGGUACCCACUUGCUCAUGAAAUUAUAGAAGUGUUAGAACUGCAGAAAGUGCAGAGAACCCAGAUGCCCAGGAGAAAUAGGCACUCAUUCUGUCCAAGGGACUGAGGCAGGGAAAGCUCUCAACUUGAGAGGACUUUUGAACUGGGCUUUGAAGGAUAAAUAGGAGUUGGGCUUUGGAGGAUAAAUAGGAGUUCCCCAUAAAUAGUCAGAGGAAAUUGAGGUGAGAAGACUGGGAGUGACACAGGGAGAGCAUCCCAGCAUCUACAUGGAACUACACUAAGCAGGAUUUGGGUUAAGAAGGAGGAGGGACUUCUCAUCCCAGAGCCUUGGGCAGAAUUCAAGUCCAGGAUUUGCCUAAAGUGAGUCCUGCCUUGAGUGAGCAGGGGAAGAAGGGCGAGCAGCCCCCACCACCCGCUCUCCAAGAGGCUGACCCCACCCUGCGCAGGGUGUUCAUUUCUCCCCACAGCCUUGACCCAGGGCAGUGAUACCAAAUUGGAAAACAAGCCCCCUUUCCGGCCGGGAGCGACAGAAGGAGGCAGGCCCAUUUUCUAGGUCAGAACUCCUUGCCCUUCCUGGCCUAGGCCAUGUUUUUCGAAACUAGACUUUGUGGAGAGAGGGAGAGAGUGUGGAUGCUUCUGUGUGCACGAAUGAGUGUGUAGGGCUGUGUGGAGAGAGGGACAGGGAGGGAGAGAGAACAGAGCCUCGGCGUGUGUGUUAUUUGUGUGUGUGUGUGUGUAGAAAGGGUGACAGAGAGAGAGAAAACAGAGCCUGGGCGUGUGUGUGUAUGUGUAUGUGUGUGGAGAAAAGGUGACGGAGAGAGCAAGAGAACGGAGCCUGGGCGUGUGUGUGCGUUUGGCUGUGUGACUGCGUGACUCUGUGCAAGAGAGACUGUGUGUGUGUGUGUGUGUGUGUGUGUGUGUGUGUGUCGCUCCAGGAGCAAGCUGUACCUUAAAGCCAUAGACCCCGCCUCGGCCCUGCUCCCCUCCACUUCCACCCCCAGCCAGAACCACCUCCCACCACAUCAGCUGGGAACCAGAGCUGGGCCUGGCCAGGGUGACUCCCGCUUGGCCUGAGGGGACAGAAGCAGCCCCAGCCCUCUCAGGCACCCCCUGCAUGGCUGAGGCUUGAGAGCUCAGAAAUGGGUCCUACUGGAGGAAGGAGAAAGGGGCUUUAUUCCUGAGGAAGGCAGGGCCUCCCAGGGGACUGGGGGCUGGGGAGGGGCGGAGGUAGGCCCAGCUCCCGGGCAAGACUGCGGGGUGAGGGCCCAGCUCCUCACUUACUAGGGGUGGGAGUCGGUGGAGGGAGGCCACAACCUCCUCACCUCCUUGCAGGGCAGCCACAGAGCUGUGCCGCAGUCACGAUGGAGACCAUGAGGUAUGGUGCUGGCAGGACAACCAGGAGGGUCUCUGUGACAGACAGGAAGCUCCCGCCUCAGGUCUGCGCUCUCAGGCAGCCUUCCUGCCAUCUUGGCAGCUGGAGCUUGCAGACACAGAGCGGGGGUGUUUGUUUUCCUCCCACAGCAGCCUGCCCCUCCCCCCGCUCUCACACCCGGUUUUGGCUCCCAGGCUGGAGGUGCUGGGCGGAGCCCUGAGAGGCUAAGACCUGGUUUCUCGGCCUCUGACUGGCUGUGUGGUCCUGGACAGGUCCCUCACCUUCUCUGGGCUGCCCCUGCCUGCUCUGCAUAUUCGAGAAGUUGGGUUCCGAGACUUUGCUGGCUCUUCCACCUUUCACAUUUCCAGGUUCUGGGUCCCAUGAUGGGCAUCAUUUGAUGAGAAGAUGCCGCGAUCCAGGAAGAGGAUGAGAAAUUACCAGCCCUGAACCCUCCCGGCCCGAACCCAGAGCCAGAAAAAGUAGUAUGCGCUGAAGUGUCCAUAGAAAGCUCCUGGUCCAACUCCUCCAUUUCACAGUUGGGGAAACUGAGGCUGGAAGGGGGAGGAUGGAGGUGGUGAUUUGCCCGAUAUGCCCGAGGAGUGAGAGCCCAAGCCAGGACUGGAGCCCGGUCCCCUGGCCCCAGCCUCCAGCUACCAGGCAGAGCCCGGGUCGCCUAGGGAGCAGCGGGCGCCAGGAGGCCGGGAGGAGGCGGAGGAGCGGGGGCGCGCCCGGCCGCCCCGGCCCCGCGGGCCCCUUCCGGCCCCUCCCCCAGCCUGCGCACCGUCCCGCCACCUGCUCCCCGGUCCGCUGGGGCGGGGCCGCCGCCCCCCGUCUCCAUGGCAACGCGCGGCCCGGCCGGCCGCCCUGGCCUCGCUGCCGCCGCGCAGCCCAUCUGGCCCCAAGCCCGCCCCAGCUGGACCGCCCGAGGCCCCGUCGGCCGGGGGCCCCCACAGCCCCGCGGCGCCCGAGAGCAAGGCAGGAGCGCCGGGCGUCGGGCACCAGCGAUGCCAGCACCUGGGCUGGCUGCGAGGCUCAUCCCGAUGGAUCAGAAGCUGUGCUGCCCUCCCGGAUCCCCGAGUCUAGAGAGUAUCCUCCCCCCCCCCACACCCCCCCCCACCCAGCACAUUCGCUCAGGGCGGCAGGAGGAGCUCUCAGGAUUGGAGGCGAGCUCUCUGGAGCCAGCCACCCUGGAGGCGAAUCCCCAAGGAGGGUGACCCUGGGCAAUUUACUUAAGCUUUUACCCGUCUGAAAAAUGGAGGCGAGCACAGAACCUGGCUCUCUGGGUGGUUGUGAGGGUUAAAUGGGUCAAUAAAGAAAAAUACAUGGAGUGAGCACGCAAUAAGUAUCAGCUAUUAUUAUUACUGCAGGUGGCAAGUGCUGCAGAGAGGGCCAUGGAAGCCCGGAGUAAGGGUCCUAACCCAGCAUGGGGGCAGCAGGGGCCGCUUCCUGGAGGAGGCCGUGCUGGUUGGUGUCGGCGCAAAUAACAGUUAGCCAGGAAGCAGAAGAGAAGAGGGAGCAGCAGCAGCAAAGACGUAGAGAUGAAAAAUAGCGUGGGGGAGGGGGGGAAGACUUACAAAGCCCCUCAGUGUUGCUGGAGAGGAUACAAGAGCCUGGCUUUCAGUUGGAGGGCAGUGGCACGGGAGCCACUGAAGGGUUUUCACAGAGCCAAGACAUGUUCCUUGUUUUCCUAGAGAUCACUCUAGCCGCCAUACGUGCAGUGGCUUGGAGGGGCCAGCAUCCUUUUGAGAGAUGAUGAGGCCUAAACAAGGGGAGAUGCAAG
rnacentral:lncRNA from 1 species